GAAUUUCUAGAUUCGCGUACGGAAUGAGGCUUCUGAGGGCAAAACAACCAGUCAGAAAAAUUUACCCCUUUUGCAAUAGAUUGGGAGAUGCAGAUAAAAGUGCUAACUUUCCAACAAAGAAAAGGAGAAAAUAAGGGCAGUUCAUGGACCAGUCAAGUGCAGACAGUUAAACAGAGAAAAACCAGUGGAAUGAAACCAGUCGAGCCAGUGGGAAAGCAAAGAGAAGAUGCGUGGGUCAGUCCGGAGGCAACUUAACAGAACCCGGGGUCCUUUGGAGGGAGG
rnacentral:lncRNA from 1 species